AAGCAAUAGAUGAUAUUAGUAGUGAAGUCAUCAUAGGGAUUCUCCAUUGUAUCGAAUUGGAUCCAUACAAUAACAUUGGCGUAACCUCUUUCAAUGCUACUAUAAUGCGAAUAAAUCGAUAUGUAUAACGCUUUUUUGUGACGUGCCACUAAUAGCGUCUAUUGAGAUGCAAUUGUCCAACAGCUAUAGGGGAUUGACGGCAGCCUGAUCGUGAGCUUAGUCAAUCCUUGAUUUCUGUUGGACUACUACAUUGUAGUUGCUUGCGAAUGCUAUGUAUUCAAGUGCCAACUUAGCUGACGACACCUCUACCUCAAGUUAGCAGUAUUACUUCUGAUAGUUUUACACAAGUUUGUCCUUUCUCUUGAAGGCAUAAAGUUAUUUGACUAAUUUUAUCUACUCUCCACCGUCAACCUUCUCUGGUAUUGACUUGUGCAACACUCAAGAAUAUUUAUUUUCGGUUCACAGUGUACUCUCCGUUUUUAAUUGAUCAGAAUGGGUAUGUAGAGACCUUAAAUUAAUUCAAAAAGAACUAAAGCAUUUUGCCAUAUUCUUUGUAUCUUUGUAAACUUUAUUUGAGAGGAGUUAAACUCCUGUCUGAGGUAGCAACUUCAGCAGUAAUCUUACUGUAUCAUUCUCCGCACUGUACGACUGGCUAAAUGAUCUGCUAUUGACUGUUUACACAAGUAAAAGUAGUCAGCAAAAAAUCGAUUAGUCUCUGGUGGAUGAUGUCAUGAGUCGAGUUUUUCUAUGUGAGAUACCUCGGUUAAUAAUCAACGUAGAAAUUUGCUGUUUGGCCAGAUCUUAUCAUUUUUAGUUGAUCUGCAAGAAUGAAGUAUCAUAAUACGAUUCUGAGACCAGCACAACUGACUUAUUCUUCCACUCUUCUGUUAUAUUUCCAUUGUUGCAUAGUCUACAUUUUUUGCUAUUACCUGUUUACUCUGCUCUCUAGAGGUGUCGUCAGCUAAGUUGGCACUUGUUUACAUUCCACUUGCAAGCAAUUGCUAUGCAAUUGUCGAGCAGCAAUAGAGGAUUGACAGCAGUCCGAUAGUGAGCUUUGUCAAUCAUCGAUUCCUGAUGGACGACUACAUUUUAGUUGCUCGCGAACGAUAUGUAUUCAAGUGCCAACAUAGCUGACGCCACUUCUACCUCAAGUUAGCAGCAUUGCCUCUGAUAGUUUUAUACAAGUUUGUCCUACCUCUUGAGGGCACAAAGUUAUUUGACCAAUUUUAUCUACUCUCCACUGUCAACCUUCUCUGGUAUUCAAUUGUGCGAUACUCAAGAAUAUAUAUUUUCAGUUUACACUGUAUUCUCCGUUUUUAUUUGAACAGAGUGGGUAUGUUUUCAAAACCAUUCAUUUCUCUAAGUUCCAUGUACAACAAUGCUUACUUGCCAAGUCACAUUUUUAUGUCUUUGAUGGUAUUUUGCUCAAAGGAGUCAACGUCUCAAAAUGGCAGCAGCUAGGGGAACAUUAACUGAUGCCUUAUCCAACGUUGACGCCUUAGAAUGAACUGUUGGAAGAUGGCUUGGAACAUGCGGUCAUGCUGUACACGUGGCAAUGUUGCUCUGGAGCCAUACCGCAAUCAAAGUUCAAUGAGCAGCCGAACUGGGUGGAAAUCUAUGAAAAGACUGUUGAAGUAUUAGGUCCUGAAGUGAACAAGCUGCUUAAUAUCAUGUAUUUUCAGGUCCGUGCAAAAACUGGUGAUGGUGCCUAUAUUGCACAACUGUGUGAUUUUUUAUUUAUUUAGUAUGAAUUGGUACAAUUGAAACAAUGAAAAUUGUUAUAGUACAUGCAAAAUACCAGUCACCGUGCCUGAAAUUACCUGGCGCAUUUAGCAAGAAAACGGUCUUGGCCGUAGACUUGUCAAAGGUCUUAGUCUUUUUGAUUUUCAUUCAGUUUUUCCGUCUAUUGACUUCCAUCUUAUUUUUGCCAAUAUUCAUGUGAAAAUUUCAUUUUUUCUAGGAUUUAUGCCAUAGGGUUCGAAUUCAAUUGAUUAUACAAUGAUAAAUUCUCGCUCGCCAAAUGAUAAUUACUUUUUUGAACUAUUGCCCUGAGGGAAGUUUCAUGCUUUCAGAGAGGAAACUACUGUGUGAAUCUUCUGAAAAUUUUCAUCUAGAGAAUUAUAAAAUCAUGAAGAAUUUUCAGUCGGAGUUUCAGCGAAUUACAUACAUUUGCUUGAUCAUAAUGGAUGAAAAAUUGGUGAAGAUUCUGAAACACUACAACUGAAGAGUGUCCUUUCUGUGCUUUGAUUUUCUCAUAAAUUGGAAUUACUUAAUAAAUCCUAAUAAUGAAUUUGAAUUUCACUCCAUCACUCUCUCCAUACUUUACUUUGAUUAUUCCUCAAUUUAUUUACUCCUAUCAAACCAUACAUGACAUCUAGAAAAGUCUUACUUUCUACUUACAAACCAUGUUUUACGCUCAGUCCGCAUUUCAGCAGCUUCUGUGGUCACAAUCAUCAGUUGAUUGUCAAUGUUGAUGGCGGCCAGGAGGGUAGUUACUACAGCGCAUACUGAUCAUGAAAAACUGCCGCCCAGUUCUCGAAAGUUAUGGCAGAUUCACACACCCUGCAAGAGUCGCAGAAUUCAUCCAUGUUUCUCGCUUCACAGAUCAAAAUUCGAGACACGGUGAAAGAGAAUUUGGAAAAAAUAAUCGGUUACAAAGAGCUUCUGUCCGAUGUUGUCAAUCUGUGUGUGCACAUGUUCGAAACAAAGAUGUACCUGACACCCACCGAAAAGCACAUGCUGGUUAAAGUUGUACUGGUUUGGAUCUACGCCCUGAAGCGCCAUCCAAAAUCAUUCUCAGGAUGGCCAAAGUCAUUGCUUUUGUUUUGUCAGCGGACUGGCUGAAAGCAUCUGGCAACACACACCGAAAACUGGAAGCACCCCUACGCCUGUUACCAUGCAUCUGCUUACUGUGUUGCGAUGAUGGCAAAUCUCCUCUCGUAUUGCUUUCUGUGAAGACAUUCCAAUGCGUGGGAGGAGGACAAGCUGGGGCCGUGGGCAUGUAGGACCACCCACCGAAAUAAUUGCUCCACAACCUGCACAGCAACCUCCACUGCAGCCUUUACCACAACCUCCUCUGCAACCAGCACCUGCAUCGAUUCCUCCACAGGAGCCAUGAUGUCUGGGAGAAAUAACAAUCAGUUCCGAUGAGGAGCCGCCAUCCGCAGACACAUUGAGAACUGAUGCAGUAGAUUAUACGGGAUGCAGCUCUUGCGACAAGCCUGAUAACUAGAUGCUUGAAUCAGGCAGCCUAGAACACAUGUCUUGAAAGAAAAUGCCAACUAUUUUCGUUCCUCAAUGAUUACUUUUAGACGGAAUUGACGCUGCUCAAAAUUGUUUUACUUCUCUCUUACUGCCUUUUUUAAACAAUAUAUAUUUUUUUUAAAUUUAAUGGUCAUUUUGUUUACUUGCUAAUUAUUGUAUUCAUUUAUUAGUGUUUAAAUACGUUAGUGAGUUGCUUGUGUAACACUGAUUUUUGUUCCUUUUUUUGGAAACUUGAAUGAAUUUCUUGCGCUCAUGUAAACAAGCUCGUUCUUAGACUAACAGUGCAAAUAUGGCAAAUUUCACCUAAGCCUUUCUUUAGCACGUUCAACCCAUAUUUUGUACUUGUAUCCCCUUGAAAUAUCAUAACGUUAGCGAGUCAACAGAGUAAUGCUGAUUUUUAUUCCUAUUUUCGGAAACUUGAAUAAAUUUCAUGCGCUCAUGUAAACAAGCUCGUUCUUAGACUAACAGUGCAAAUAUGGUAAAUUUCACCUGAGCCUUUCUUUAGCAUGUUCAACCCAUAUUUUGUACUUGUAUCCCCUUGAAAUAUCAUUACGUUAGCAAGUCAACAGGGAAUUACUGAGUUUUUGUUUUGUUUUCAAGAACUUAAAUAAAUUUUCUUUUUUCUACUACCUUA